GCCGCCAUGGUGAAAUUGGUAGACACGCUGCUCUUAGGAAGCAGUGCUAAAUGCAUCUCGGUUCAAGUCCGAGUGGCGGCA
rnacentral:tRNA from 1 species